GGCCCGGUGUUGUAACGGAAGCAUGUGGCUCUGAUAAGGCGGCAGCGGUGGUUCGACUCCACCUCGGGCCA
rnacentral:tRNA from 1 species